GAGGAAGCGCAUCAUUUCGUCUGGGGUCCCGGGCUCAAAUGCCGACGGGGCCAGAGAGGUAAGAAAAGUGAACAGGGCUGGUGGCUGGGACUCUGCGACCGUCUAAAGGGCCGCCCCUGCUCGGUCCCCCUCAUCGCUGACCUAUGGGGAUCUGGGCCCAGAUCUUCCCAUUUCUUGACACAAGUCGGAGAUGUAGAAGUGUAUGUAUCAUCUUCCCCUUUUCAAAAUGUCAGCAUCUAUUUAAAAACACUUUUUUUUAAACACUGGGCAGGCCAAAUAAAACAUGGCAGCCGGCAGCUUUGGCCCUCCUCAGAGCGACCCCGACGUACCCAGCUGUGCUGCUCCCGGCCCCGGAGAUUUCCUACAGCUCUGCUCAGCACGGGUAAGAGAAUAAUAAAUCGGUCGCUUCACUAUCCAAUUAGCAGCCGUUGCUCCCCGCUGGAGGAAGAAAACAAACAGGAAGACCCUGCCCUGUUUUGUUUAGGGUCAAACUCGCCUCUGUACCACCUACUGGAGCUGUGGGGCCACCCAGCUGGUGCUAUCUUAUCAGAGGCUGGUGACAGCCACAGGAUUCAAGAGAGGAAACGGAGGUAUCUUAUCUGCCUUGCUUGUAUCCGGCUGGAAGGCGAGCUGUUCUUUCUCAGUGAAGGGCAGAGUCUCGUGUCACUGCCCUUGGUUGGGAACAAGGGAGAACAAAGGUCAUUUGCCCUUUGCAGACUCAAAGGCUUAGAGGGUCAUGAAGCAGGCAAGGGCACUGGGACAAAGAAAGGCUCCAUGCUUUAAUCCUUAGCAAAUUAAAUCCCUGAAAGGUGGAUACACCUAUUAUCCUCCUUGAAGAAGAAACGGAGGCUCGGAAAAUUAACUUGCCUCAGGUGGUGCAGUGAGACAUCAGGAUUUAAGUAGAAGUCUGUCCAAUUCAGGGAUCAAGCUCUUAAUGCUUCUGCUAUUGCCCUUACUUAAUCUUUCCAACAGCCCUUGUCCCCGUUUUACAGAUGAGAAGAUGGGGAUCAUCACCGAAAGUCUCAGAGCCCCAGGAGGGGCCAGUCAGAACUCUAUGGGCCUCUCUCCGAAGCAUAACACACCAGCAAAGGGCUGCAUCCUUUAUAAGACAGUGAAUUUCUGUGGGGGCGGAAGGAAAAGACAGAGGAAGGGAGAGAGAUAGGCAAGACGUGGGUCUAGAAUAAUCAUUGUACACGAGAGGCGCAGGCGUGAACAGCACAUGCGGACUGGCAGGCAGGCUCCUGCUUACGCUGAGGCUGGGGAAACUUGGAAGGGGAGGGAAGACAGCAGAGCAGUGAUAACUCCCAGCCGCAGCCGCCAAGCUCCCGGGAUUUCUAGAGAUGAGGUCAUGGGGAACUGCUCUCUUUUGUUCUCACGACAACCAGGCCUACCCCCUUCCCACUCUCCAGCCCCAAUUGUACUAGGAAUUGGGGUGGGGGGUGGGUAAGAAUGUCAAACAGUGGCGGUGACAGUGGCUGCGGUUACCGUCACUGUCCUUCAAUAUUCAGAUGGUACCCAGAGGUAACCAUGGCAACCGGCCAUGGGAGCAGUCGUUGAGGAAGAUGUUUAUCCCACCCAGUGGGUAGGGCUGAGGGAUGGCCAGGCCACACCAGGGCACCCAGCCCCAAGGAGACAGCUCCGUGCCCACCGCAGCCUUGCUUGUGGGGGUUUUCACCUCUUACUCCAGGCUUCUGGGGGCGCAAAUCCCCAUUCUAACACAUGGGCAAAACUUGGCCAAGUUCUUAACUCCUCUGAGCCAUGGACUCCUCAUUUGUUCAGAGUAAGCAUGUGAUGAUGAUGAUGACGAUGAUGAUGCCAUGAUUGUUAUUAUUCAAAGAAUGAGCUGUAGGACUCAUCAAUGAAUGAGUCAGAUGGACCUGGCUAGGAACCUCUGUAACUGAGACAAGCAGCUUUCCUCUCUGGGUCCCAGUUCUUUAUCUGUAAAAGGUGAACCCCACAGGCAUUUUACAUGACUGUCAUGUACCUGCACAGCUGAGUAUGUGUCUUGGUUUGUGUUUCUGUGAAAACAGAGCUGGAAAUGGGGUUUGGGUGCAGGUAGUUUAUUUGGGAGGUGAUUCCCACAAGUAGGAGAAUGGGAGAGUGAUGUGGGGGCCAUGGAUAGGAGAAGCCAGUAAUGAGCAGGUGACCACUGUGGGCACCUGGGGCUCAAGCUCACUGCGGACCCCGGGGGAACUGUGUAGAACGUGCCUCUGGAUUGUCCCACGAGGGGUGGGAACAUUGGGGAAUUUAACAACUGCCAUCCCACAGUAGGAAGAGAGGCCAGCGCUUGGGUUAAGUAAGAGACAGACACUGUCGCAGGUAAGUUCAGAGGUAGGCAAGGGAAGAUGGUGUGGGGUGCGAGAGAAGCCACUACAGAAGGAAACACUGGGUCCUUUCCAUAAAACAGCAUCGUGGUCUCAUCGUGGUCUCCCUCGGCCUCCUGCUGCUUACACACGUAUGUGCUUGCUUUCUAGAGGCCAUUCCUGUUUCCAUGAGACUAGUGCAUUAAUUUAACUUAUUUAUCUUUUUAAACUUUAGGUUCAAGGUACAUGUGCAGGCUUGUUGUAUAGGUAAAUUGCGUGUCACAGGGGUUUGGAGUACAGAUUAUUUCAUCACCCAGGUAAUGUGCAUGGUACUCAAUAGGGAUUUUCUAUCCUCACACUCCUCCCACUCUCCACCCUCAAGUAGGCCCUGGCGUCUGUUGUUCCCUUCUUUGUGUCCAUGUGUAUUCAGUGUUUAGCUCCCACUCCUAAGCGAGAACAUGAGAUAUGUACAUUAAUUCAGCCUCUGUAGAAGGCAGUUUGGCAAUUUCUCAAAGAACUUAAAACAGGAAACAGGUAAUCAAAUGGUUGAUUACCAUUUGACCCAGAAAUCCUAUGAUUGGGUAUAUACCCAAGGGAAUAUAAAUCGUUCUAACACAAAGACACAUGUACACAUAUGCUCAUCGUGGCAUGAUUUACAAUAGCAAAGACAUGGAAUCAACCUGAAUGCCCAUCAAAAGUAGACUGGAUAAAGAAAAUGUGGUCUAUAGACACCAUGGAAUACUGCACGGCCGUGAAAAAGAAGGAAAUCAUGUCUUUUGCAGCAAGAUGGAUGCAGCUGGAGGCCAUUAUCCUAAGUGAAUUAAUGCAGGAGCACAAAACCAAACACGGCAUUGGCCUCCAUCCGCCUUGAUUAUGAGGACCUUGUCUGCUUUUUGUAUUAGCUGUGAGCCCCUGGGCAAGUGCCUUGAUGCCUCUACAUCUCUGUUUGUUUGUCUGUAACAGGGAACAAUAACAAUACUUACCUCACAGGGCUGUGAUGAGAAUUAAAUAAGAUAAUGUGCAAAUGUGGGAUCAGCAGAGUAUUUUCAUAAAGGGCCAGAUGGUAACUAUUUUAAGCUUUGUGAAUGAUCUCUUUUGCAACUACUCAACUCUGCCACUGUACCAUGAAGGCAGCCAUGACUAUAUGUAAAUAAAUGAAUGGGUGUAGCUGAGUUCUAAUAAAACUUUACUCACGAAAACAGGAAGCAGCCAGAUUUGGCCCAUGAGCCCUAGUUUGCUAAUCUCUGGUAUAAAGCCCAACACGCAGUACCUGGCACGUAGUAGGUUGUCAGUGGAAGCAAGUCACAGUUAUUAUUGCCACAGCUUGGAAAGAGUACAAGCUGAAGGCUCUCCAGAGCUUAGCUAAGUUUCUACUUCUUCCCCUUCCAU
rnacentral:lncRNA from 1 species